rnacentral:rRNA from 1 species
UGGGGAAUAUUGGACAAUGGGCGCAAGCCUGAUCCAGCCAUGCCGCGUGGAUGAUGAAGGCCCUAGGGUUGUAAAGUCCUUUCGGCGGGGAAGAUAAUGACGGUACCCGCAGAAGAAGCCCCGGCUAACUUCGUGCCAGCAGCCGCGGUAAUACGAAGGGGGCUAGCGUUGCUCGGAAUCACUGGGCGUAAAGCGCACGUAGGCGGAUUCUUAAGUCGGUGGUGAAAUCCUGGAGCUCAACUCCAGAACUGCCUCCGAUACUGAGAGUCUUCGAGUCCGGGAGAGGUGAGUGGAACUGCGAGUGUAGAGGUGAAAUUCGUAGAUAUUCGCAAGAACACCAGUGGCGAAGGCGGCUCACUGGCCCGGUACUGACGCUGAGGUGCGAAAGCGUGGGGAGCAAACAGGAUUAGAUACCCACGUAGUCCCUGAGCGGGCUGGCAAGGCGCAU